rnacentral:lncRNA from 1 species
AUUUUAUAUUUUUAUUUAUUUGAAAUUAUAUAAUUUUGUGAAUUUAUUUCAAUUAGAAUAUUAUUUAUAUAAUUUUUUUUAAAGUCAAGUUUACUAAUCAAAUUUCGCAACCUUGUAUACAACAAUUGACUGUUUUCACAAUGGAAAAUGGAUAUAGUUGAUCCCUUGACAGGGGUUUGUCGGAUGGUUGCGGGAAAGAACUCCCCGCUUUAUUAGUCCGUUAGGGUUACAAGCUCCCAGACCCAAGCGUGGUAAAAAAAGUGAUGGUCCAAGCACUGUGUUUUUGAAGACAUAAUCAAUGGUGGUUUAUUCAGAGUUGCCGCUUUAAUUUUGCCUACUCCGCUGAGAGCGGAAUAUUAACCGUCCUGUUUUAACUCAAUGCCCUCGUUUGUUGUUGAUGUAAUACAGCAAUGGGUCAUCCCAUGCCUCAUCAACGUCUCUACUCAAAGGAGACCUUCCGGCAAGGAUAAGCACCACACUCGGUCUAACAGUACAAGUUCAAUCACCUUAAUGCUCCCGCUAGGGUUACAAGCUAGCGCUACCUAGCUCGGCAAUUCAUUCAGAUUGUCAGAGGUUUAUAAAGAAUAUGAUCCUCCGUUAACUGUCAGAUGUGGGCCUUCAAAAGGAAAGUAGUUAAAGAGAAAUUUUGGUAGAGGAAGCAAGUGGUUAAAAUUGCGAUGCUAGUUAAACUAUUUCAAUUACGAAAUUCAGUUUACCAAAAAGUUGUUAGUGUUAGAGAAAAAUUAGUACAGUGAUAUUCAAAUAUAAAGAGGUGAAGGUUUCGAGCACUAUCUUUGGGACCUUUGGAAAAGGUGGUGAUCAAAGCCGGCUUAGUCAGAUUCUUUUAAGCAAAAAAUCUGAUGAUGAAAUAAUUUAGUAUAUAAACAACUGGCAGAUUAUGAACCAUUAUCCUUCAUUUGCUUGCGUUUAUUUAAUCCUCUGUAUGCACACGAUACUACGUCAGAGUCAAUGCAUGACUGAAAAAUGGACUUCUUCAUGUGUCUCUGUUUCGCAGCCAUCUCGUUGUAUGUGGUGGUCCUCUUCAUGUGUCUCUGUUUCGCAGCCAGCAAUGGACAUCAUCUCACAAAUUCUUAUGUUUUUAAGUUCAUCUCUACACUGUUUUUAAGUUGGUUUAAGAACUAUUUGGUUGGUUGUGUGCCUUGUUAAGUAAAGUGUUGCAUUGUAUUUAAGUUCUAUAAAAAGUCCUAUGAUACACUCUUUGAAAACCCAUUAAAUUCAAUGAUUAGAGGAUUCCACUUUUACAAUAAUUUAUGUUUUAAUUUAUAUUUUAUAAUAUUUAUAUAAACAAUAUUUUUAUGAUUUUAUUUAUUUAAAAUUAUAUAAUUUUAUGAAUUUACUUGAAUUAAAAUAUUAUUUAUAUAAUUUUUUUAUAUAAAAUAAACUCUAACAAAUUUAUUAAUCAAGUAUAUCGAAUUUCCACGAAUUUACGUAAAUAUUUGAGUUUCACGACCUUGUAUACAACAAGUGACCAGAACAUGGUAUCCAUGUUUGCACAAUGAAAAAUGGAUAUACUUUCUCAUGCAUAAUGGAAUUGUAGGCUUAAAAUAUAAAAAAGAUGAUGGUCCAAGCACUGUGUUUUUGAAGACCUGAAUGGUGAUUCAAAGCUCCCGCUGUAAUUUUCCCAACACCGCUUAGUGUGGGUAGCAGAACUAGCUGUUCCAACCCGUCCUGUUUUAACUCAAAUGCCCUCGUUUGUGGUUGAUGUAGCAGAGCAAUGGGUCAUCCCAUGCCUCAUCAACGAACGUCCCUACUCUGGUAACAGAGGAGACCUUCUCUACUCCCAUAAGGGAGAAAGAAGAUUCCACUUCUUAUAAAGAGUGGAAAGCAGGCUGCCAUAGGCACCACACUCGGACUAACAGUACAAAUUCCAUCACCUUAAUGCUCCUGCUAGGGUUACAAGCUAGCGCUACCUAAC